rnacentral:tRNA from 1 species
GCACCCGUAGCUCAGCUGGAUAGAGCACCAGACUACGAAUCUGGGGGUCAGAGGUUCGAAUCCUUUCGGGUGCGCC